rnacentral:rRNA from 1 species
GACGAACGCUGGCGGCGUGCCUAAUACAUGCAAGUAGAACGCUGAAGGAGGAGCUUGCUUCUCUGGAUGAGUUGCGAACGGGUGAGUAACGCGUAGGUAACCUGCCUGGUAGCGGGGGAUAACUAUUGGAAACGAUAGCUAAUACCGCAUAACAGUAGAUGUUGCAUGACAUUUGCUUAAAAGGUGCAAUUGCAUCACUACCAGAUGGACCUGCGUUGUAUUAGCUAGUUGGUGGGGUAACGGCUCACCAAGGCGACGAUACAUAGCCGACCUGAGAGGGUGAUCGGCCACACUGGGACUGAGACACGGCCCAGACUCCUACGGGAGGCAGCAGUAGGGAAUCUUCGGCAAUGGACGGAAGUCUGACCGAGCAACGCCUCGUGAGUGAAGAAGGUUUUCGGAUCGUAAAGCUCUGUUGUAAGAGAAGAACGGGUGUGAGAGUGGAAAGUUCACACUGUGACGGUAUCUUACCAUAAAGGGACGGCUAACUACGUGCCAGCAGCCGCGGUAAUACGUAGGUCCCGAGCGUUGUCCGGAUUUAUUGGGCGUAAAGCGAGCGCAGGCGGUUAGAUAAGUCUGAAGUUUAAGGCUGUGGCUUAACCAUAGUACGCUUUGGAAACUGUUUAACUUGAGUGCAAGAGGGGAGAGUGGAAUUCCAUGUGUAGCGGUGAAAUGCGUACAUAUAUGGAGGAACACCGGUGGCGAAAGCGGCUCUCUGUCUUGUAUCUGACGCUGAGGCUCGAAAGCGUGGGGAGCAUACAGG